UAUUAACGUUGUGGUUGCUUC
rnacentral:siRNA from 1 species